AUUGAACGCUGGCGGCAUGCCUAACACAUGCAAGUCGAACGGGGCAGCAAUGCCUAGUGGCGGACGGGUGAGGAAUACGUAGGAAUCUGCCCUUAAGUGGGGGAUAACCAGGGGAAACCCUGACUAAUACCGCAUGAUCUCUUCGGAGCAAAGAGGGGGACCGCAAGGCCUCUCGCUUCUGGAUGAGCCUACGUCUGAUUAGCUAGUUGGUAGGGUAAAGGCCUAACAAGGCGACGAUCAGUAACUGGUCUGAGAGGAUGAUCAGUCACACCGGAACUGAGACACGGUCCGGACUCCUACGGGAGGCAGCAGUGGGGAAUAUUGGACAAUGGGCGCAAGCCUGAUCCAGCAAUGCCGCGUGUGUGAAGAAGGCCUUCGGGUUGUAAAGCACUUUAGCCUGGAAAGAAAAAACUUUGGUUAACACCCAAAGUCUUGACGGUACCAGGAGAAUAAGCACCGGCUAACUCUGUGCCAGCAGCCGCGGUAA
rnacentral:rRNA from 1 species